UGCAGGUCAAUUAGCAGGCACCUGGAUAAGAUUCAGGCCUCUGUUAAAAUCCCAUUAGAUACUAUUACAGGCGGUUGCUGCAUGUUUUCUACCAAUAUGAAUAUUGUAUUUAGAAAUGCAGAGUAGAUGGUAUGAAAAUUCUGACAGCUAUAAAUCUUGGAUUUGAAGUGGACGGCUUUAUUGACUGCUGCUGUCUCUGAGAUGGAGAGAAGGGAAAAUCUGUUUUUGUCUUUUGAUUCAAAAUGAGAAAGCACUAUUUAGGGAUGAUUGAUGGUUUAGAAAUGACUUACCAUGUGCUCCACAGGAUCAUAUUACCCUAGAUAAUAGGUUAAACAGGAAAGAGAGGCUUCUGAAUUCAAAGGCACUAAACAUAAUUUUAUUGCAACUGAGAAAAAUCAGUGCAAGUAUGACAUGGACAUGUUCAUUUAUAUUCUAGACCAAACUAAAAGAUCAUUCUACAAAUUAUUAAUUCCAGUCUAGGUGUGUGCCACCCUGAACUAUCGUCUGUGUCAUGAUACAUUUCGUAAUUUUUCACAUGCUGAGAAGAGAUAUUUUGAGUCCAUACUGAAGCUGUUCCAUGUCCACUCACUCUAGAAAUUUAAUGUUGCCAUAGAAAAAAGCUGAGAUUAUAUCAACCUGUUCACUACCGUAUGUUGGGUUGCAUCUGUCUUGUACCCAGUGGAGCUGUAAUUGGGAAGGUCACCAGAUUUUUUUUUUAAUGUCAGGAAAUUUCUUGUGAAUUGAGGAUAAAAUUAUGUCUCUGUUGAAUCAAAGAGAAAAAAUUAUUUUGCUUUUUGUGGAGCUAGCAUUUUACUCGAACUUUUCCACAUGUCUAUAUUUAGAUUAUGCUCCAAAGCACACAGAGAACAGAUGGGAAAAUCAUUCAACCUGCCUGUAUCUCAAGUUUCCGAUCUAUACAACUAGGAGGAUAAUAUACACCUCAGGUUAUCAAAAACAUGUCACUGGCAAACAGAGAUAGUGUCUCCCUUUGACAAUUUGUCCCAUCCAUAAAAGACUAAAUAUUAUGAAGAAUUUAUACCAGAAUUGCUGUGAGGGAAGUUCAGGUAUAGAUGUCUUACUCUAAAUUAACUCUCCACCGUAACAAAUGUAACCAUAACACCCAAAACAGCUCCGGCCGCCACCCAGCAUGGAUCCCAUGGCUAUCUGCAAGCCUCAGGUGAGAUAUUAACUCUUCCACUGCACAGAUGAAACCUCCAAACCCUCAAUCCUCUCUCGAGUAGGAGAAAAGGGAGGAGUGAAGGUACAGGGAGAACAGCAUAGAGCCAUGGAGGUCACUAGAGAAAGAAGAGUCAGUAAAGAAAGAGGAGGUGCCCUAGCUUGGACUGGAAUUCUCUUGGAAGGCUGUGGUGGAGAUAUGAUUGAUACAUCAGACUCUUUUUCCCUGUAGCUCAUUGAAAAGCAUGGGGGGAAGAAGCGUUCAAAUUGUGGACAUGAGGAACAGGCAUCCAUGCUGAACAAGCAGGUGUUGAAGUAGCUGUGAUUCCACUGGAAGCUCGAGCAGGGAGAGAGGAGAGUGAUGAAGACCCUUAGCCCCCAGGGAAGAUCUCUGUUCCCAGACAUGAAGAUGAUCUCAGAGAUAGAUGAAGAAAACUUCUGCUUCUAAAAAGUUCAUUCUCAAAAGCAUACCACAUCAGCCAAAGAUUGAGCCCUCGAAAACAGUUGUGGGGAAAGCUGUAAGUCAAGGGGAGGGUCUUUUACAGUGAUCAGAUUUCUGAUCUCUGGGUGGCUGAUUCACUGUGACAUUGAAGCCACAAGAGAACAGUUUCUUGUGGAGAAGUCUCCAUAGCAUGACAAGAGAGACUCCUCUCCCCAAGCAAAUUAAAGAAAGACUAUUUUAGCUGUGAUAAACUGACUGAAUUGUUUCUGUACAUUGUCAGAGGGAAAGAAAAGAGAGUGUGUGGGGGGGAGAAGCACUCUGAAAGUUUUAUUCUGAUUGUUAUUAUUCUUUUUGUUCUGUUAAUAAAAUUUUUCUUUAUACCCUUUAAAGUGUAAGCCUGCAUUGCCUUGCUCCUAAUCCUAUCUCACAGCAGGAAAUGAGUAAAUAGUUCUGGUGAGUGCACUAGCUAUUUAGCCAGCACUAAACCCAUCACAUAAAUUAGUGCAUUAGCCAAAAAAAUCUCAAAUUAGCAAACCAAUAUCUCUACAAAGGGAAAGUAAAAUUUCUGGAAAACAGUAAGAGAAAUCUUUGCUUUUUAUGAAGCCCCUCUAGUGAAAACAAAAUUACCAGAUUCAC
rnacentral:lncRNA from 1 species